GGCGUUGAUUAUGCUAAUUUGCGAUCCUCGUGCGCGCUCGCUCGAAUUUAAAAAAGUUGACAUUCAUCCUGUUUACACAGGUAAUUUACACAUAUUCAUGAACAUAGAAGAGUUUAAUGAAUCCGACAAGGCCUGUUGGUAUGAGCUCACGGUAAGAACACAUGGAGGAGAAAUUUAGGAUUGGAAUACGAACACGCCCACCAGAUACAGAAGUAAACGCCUCCAGCUUUACAUCUGACGAAGAUGCAACAGUUGAGAAUUUAGAGUGUGAGUUGUCAAAUCUCGCCUCACACUGUGACAGUGUGAAACAGUCUCCACUCCACAUGUCUUCUGCUUUUCCUCCUCGCCCAUGAACAGACACCAAAGGAACCAUCUCCUCUCUAUCCCCCCGCACUGAGGUUCUGGUGGACUCGGUGUCGCCCCCAGGCGGUCAACGUUCGAGACGGCAGCUUGCUAUGGAAGGUCAAUCACUGCACUCCCUGGAACCAGAUCUCUCAGAGUUCUCCUCCUGCUGCCUUGGUCUUCAGAGGAGGAGGACAAGACGUUAUGUGAUUUGUGGAUUUGCAAUAUGGGAGACCGCUCUGCAAUGUGACCAGUAGAGCUGUGAGUUUUUAGCAUGAAUAAAGUCAGUCAUGUUACAAGUUCGGGAGGUGCAGAAGCACAGAGGCACACCAGAAGACUUCUACAGAACUAGUUGGUGUCAUGUCUUUGUCGGCACCGGCUGACUCGUGGCGCUCGGUCUCUCACUCACUCAGCCAGAGUCCUACAGUCAACACCAAGUAGAGGAUUCUCUCCCUGCCCUGUGUGACCUGCUUCUGACUUGAAUCACCCCUUUGUGUUCACGUUUUUUUUUUUAUUAGAAGGGUUUGUGGCUCGACUCUUCACCAGUCUGUAGUUGCUUUUAAACCCAACUCAUUGUAUUUAGCUCCUGGUUAUUUUAACUCUGUCCUGUGAGUUGAGUGUUGUACGUUUGUUGUAUGUCUUCAUCGUGUGCUGCUUUUGUCUGUACGUCUGAAACCGUGACUGCCUUCUUGGCCAGGGCCAGAGAGAGAUCUUCUUCUCUCAAUGGGACUCGCCUGGUCAAAUUAACAACUCACACCACCUUUUUAUGUAUAAAUGAGUGCUAGUUUUAUAAAAAUGUAAAAAGCUAUUCAAACAUCCAUCUCUAUUGUGUUUCCUGUAGCCUAUUAAUAAAAACAUUAAUAAAA